GCCGAAGUGGCGGAACUGGUAGACGCGCUAGGUUCAGGGUCUAGUGGGAGCAAUCCUGUAGGGGUUCGAAUCCCCUCUUCGGCACCA
rnacentral:tRNA from 1 species